GCACCCUGAAAAUGGGGGGCAAACUAGGAAGAGGGUUUUAUGAAUGUCAACCAUCUCAACCAUCUUAAUUUUAUAUUGAGGGUGGGUGGGUGGGGGGAGAUCUGGUUUUACCUGCAAACAUUUCUAGAUAUGACCCAUUUCUAAAUAGACAUGGUUCCAUUUUGUAAAGUGAUCGUGUGUGUGAGCGCGUGUGUAUGUGUGUGUGUACACAGAGAUGGUAAACACAUCCUUGCUCAACAAGCACUGAGCAGAAAAUAAAUGCAGUGGACUUAUUUUCUCUUGCACUGGACACUCCCAGAUAGACUCAUCCAUGCCAAGCUACAACUUCAUAUGAAACCGUGUAGAUUUGAAGGAAGAAAAUGAAUUCCAGCUGCUUCAGACAUCAUGUCAGAGGCUGGAGAUUCGCCAGCUCUCCAUCUGUGAACACCAGUGAAAAGGAUGGAGGAAUGAGAAAAGCUUGUGCACAUGUGCAAAGAGGAGAUAAAGACAGCAGUACCCAACGGGCUGGCUUGAAUGAUAAAAUGAACUCUCCAUCAACUGCCAUUUUGCCAGAAAAAAUACUGGAAGAAGUGGUAGGGAGCCAGAAUUACAACUGAAGCACAUCAUCAUCUGAACUCUCCAGUACAACUCCAUAAAUAAGCUGGGACUGAUGGCAUGAAAAGAGCCAUCUCAGGAAACCGAGAUUUCUGAGAUUUGGAUGCCGAGACUAUCUCAGGAAACUGGUCCUCUACCACCUUCCCAGUCAUCAUUGAGGAAGUGUCAUGAAGUGCUUUUUAGCUUCAAAUUGGACAACAUUUCCUUUUCAUUACAUCUUAAGGUGAACUUCUUGCUGGUGUGCCUUUUUGCAGAAGCCCAGCUCAAAUAUUAUGCAGUGUGCAUAUGUUAAAACAAACGGUCACAGAAUUUCUUCUCCUUGUACAAGAACAUUUUAGGCAUAUGUGGUUGCCCUUUUCAACUCCUUACUAUCUUGUUCCCCUUCUCUGUUCUUUUUCACGCACCCUGCUAAAUAUGUGGAGCCUGUGCUUCUUUCUUGUCCCCUGUCCAGAUGAAAUGGGCCUGUAUCAAGGCUGGCCCUGCUGCCAGACAGUGAGUCAGAUGCCCCCAGGCAGCUGAUUUGGGGUGUCAGAAGGACAGCAGAUGUUUUAUGGUUGCAUUUGCACUGACAAGGAGGGAAGAAUGUCUGCCUCUGAUUUCAUAAGAACUUGGUUUGCCUGCGUACUUUCCCUCUUGCCAGCGGCUGGGGGAAGGCAGCACUGAUUUGCAUUUGGAUGUCUCGGGUCCACCCUGAUGGCAAUGACACAUAUUGCAGCCACAUAGCAAGAUGCAAAAUAUUGGUGAUUAGCUUUGGAUUCGCAACAUGUGGUGUGCAUUGCAGGCUCUCAGCUGAAAACCACUUACUUCACUGGCACAUUUGUGUUUCAUUAAGCAAUUGCUGUCUAAUGAAAUGGUUAUGAAGGUCAUAUGAGCAGCCACGCUUGAAGACAGGGCUGUGCUGGAAUGGUAUUUUUCAUUUUGUUUUGCAUGUCACUUAUUGUCAAAAAAUCUUUUUGUUUUGACACAUGCUUUUGGCCAGCUCCUCGGCUUCAUCUGUUUUUUCCUCCAAGUUUCCAGUGCUCUGGGCAACUGCAUAGCCUCUGAGUGUGCCCACAGGACUCGAGAAAAUUCAGUUCUGCUGUGAAUACCACCAGGAGAAACAGUUUGGCAAUUAUCAGCUUGACCUCAUACCAUGAUAAAACCACUCUAGACUCAAGCCUAUCCUCCACAUGCAGCUACGUGUGCAGUCAUUUGUACUUAACAGGAUUAGUCGAUGGCAUUAAAUGAACAGCCCAUCAUGCACACCCGAUCCACAAAAGGUUAGGUAUGCCUCAGCCUAACUUUAUGAAGCAAACUAGCAAAGAAAGACAUGCAAAUUAAUAUUUCAGCUUUUCUUGUCGUUGCAGGCCAUCAAGUCAUCUCUGACCUGCAGUGGCCUGUGAAUGAACGCCCUCCCAAAUGCCCCAUCCCUGAUAGCCCUGUGCAGCUCUUGCAAAUUCAGGGCUGUGGCUGCCUUUACGGAGACAAUUCAUCUCAUGUUGAACAUUUUGGCUAAGCUUUAUGAACUCAUGAGCAGGGGCUUGUUCUGUGCAGAGCUCCAAGGGUCUCCUAUUUGCAUAUGCUUGAGAAUGAUUAUUUUUCUUUUAAAAUGUCAAGAUUAAGUGCGACCUGACACAUGCUGCCCCCCUGUGAAGCUCCUGUGACAGCCUGUGAUCGCAUGAUUGCUUUUCUGCACUGGAAACAAUGACAGUAGUGGCAGUAAAAAGCCCAAAUGGGGAUAUUCGGGCAUGGCUAAAAGCCUGGUUGUUGGAGAGCGGAGGGUUGGGGGAAUCCAUGUGCUAUUUCAUCCUGCUGAAGUCCAUACCUUCCCCUUUGGGAUUUCUAAAGAAAGGCCAGUGGUUCAUCUUGAAAGUACACAGGGUGUGAGUGCUCAAGCCAGCACCAAAGGAAACACAGGGCUACUUUGCAUGUGCCCCUGAACCGAAGCAGACUUCC
rnacentral:lncRNA from 1 species